rfam:Candidatus Levybacteria bacterium RIFCSPLOWO2_02_FTLL_37_18 rifcsplowo2_02_scaffold_7100, whole genome shotgun sequence.
GGGCCGCUAGCUCAAUUGGCAGAGCAACUCCCUCUUAAGGAGUAGGUUACAGGUUCGACUCCUGUGCGGCUCA